CUUUGUCUUGCUCAGCUUUGUAAGGUGAGUGGAGAGAGAGGCUAGUGUCCUUGCUGGUUCUGCUUAUUUAUUCAUUUUUUUUCUCUCCUCCAGUUAGCCUGGUGAAUUUUCUCCAGCGGGGCUUCAAGCCUUGUUCCCUCUAGGUUCUUUCUGCCAUUUCCCUGCCAAUGUCUCAGGCUACUGAGGUUUUUGUCUCAUCUCCCCUUCCAGCACUGGUGUGCAGACUCUGCAGCUGGGCUUCUGAGCUGUGGGCAUCCUUGUUCUCCCUGUAGGUCCUCCGUGUCACAUCCACUAGAUCCAGAAGAGUUUCCUCUGCAAUUUUUUUUGAGCCUUUCCCUGAGACUACAAUAACUCCACUUUUAUUAAACUAUCUUUUUCCCAGACCCUCCGUGCAUGCCCUAUCAGUUUUCCUGUUCUAAAUAUUCAAAUGGUAUAACUUUAGAAAUAAAUAUAUUUACUAUACUAAUGCCUUUCCAAAAAUUUUGUAAACCUCUAUCUUCCUUUGUAUAUACUGAUAAUACUUCUGCUAUGCUACUGGAAUUUACAGCUGUGUGUAAUGCUGAAGAAUUGAAACUGUCUUGUUCAUGGCUUACAGGACUGAGCAUUGCCACUUUACUGGAAGCAAGUGACAAUAGGAUUACCAUUUAAGGCAGUAUUAGCCUCCAUCUUUGAUGCCUGACACCAUUUUACUGAUGUUGGAAGAAAAAAUAGGAAAUUUCUAACAGAAUCUGUACUCAGUUUCAUUAGCUUUGGUAUAACACUACUAAAUACAUAAUUAAUAUUUUAAGUUACAACAAUUGUAAAACAUAAAAAUAAAAAUAAUGUACCCUUAGGUUAAAUGAAUUGGGAUAAAUAAGUGCAUAUCCUCUAGCUACCUCCCCUAUAC